rnacentral:misc_RNA from 1 species
GAUGAAGAACGUAGCGAAAUGCGAUAAGUAAUGUGAAUUGCAGAAUUCAGUGAAUCAUCGAAUCUUUGAACGCACAUUGCGCCCGCCAGCAUUCUGGCGGGCAUGCCUGUUCGAGCGUCAUUUCAACCCUCAAGCUCUGCUUGGUGUUGGGGCCCUACGGUUGACGUAGGCCCUUAAAGGUAGUGGCGGACCCUCUCGGAGCCUCCUUUGCGUAGUAACUAACGUCUCGCACUGGGAUUCGGAGGGACUCUUGCCGUAAAACCCCCAAAUUUUUAAAGGUUGACCUCGGAUCAGGUAGGAAUACCCGCUGAACUUAAGCAUAUAAUAGCGGAGGA